AAAUUGAAGAGUUUGAUCAUGGCUCAGAUUGAACGCUGGCGGCAGGCCUAACACAUGCAAGUAGAACGGUAACAGAAAGAAGCUUGCUUCUUUGCUGACGAGUGGCGGACGGGUGAGUAAUGUCUGGGAAACUGCCUGAUGGAGGGGGAUAACUACUGGAAACGGUAGCUAAUACCGCAUAACGUCGCAAGACCAAAGAGGGGGACCUUCGGGCCUCUUGCCAUCGGAUGUGCCCAGAUGGGAUUAGCUAGUAGGUGGGGUAACGGCUCACC
rnacentral:rRNA from 1 species